rnacentral:tRNA from 1 species
GCGGAACUGGCGGAAUUGGUAGACGCGCAAGAUUCAGGUUCUUGUGUCCGCAAGGACUUCGGGGUUCAAGUCCCCGGUUCCGCA